AAUCAACGCUGGCGGCGUGCCUAACACAUGCAAGUCGAGCGAGAAAAGGGGGGCAACUCCCUGAGUACAGCGGCGCACGGGUGAGUAAUACGUGGGUAAUCUGCCCUGAAGUGGGGAAUAACACCGGGAAACCGGUGCUAAUACCGCAUAUGAUCACGAUGUCUGCGGACGUAGGGAUGAAAGGAGCAAUUCGCUUCAGGAGGAGCCCGCGGCUGAUUAGCUAGUUGGUGAGGUAAUGGCUCACCAAGGCAACGAUCAGUAUCCGGUCUGAGAGGACGGUCGGACACACUGGAACUGAGACACGGUCCAGACUCCUACGGGAGGCAGCAGUGGGGAAUUUUUCGCAAUGGGGGAAACCCUGACGAAGCAACGCCGCGUGGGUGAUGAAGUCUCUUGGGACGUAAAACCCUUUCGACAGGGAAGAAACCGCAAGGUUGACGGUACCUGUAGAAGAAGCCCCGGCUAACUCCGUGCCAGCCGCCGCCGUAACAC
rnacentral:rRNA from 1 species